GGUACGUUAGUGACGUAGGUUAAUAGAGUAGCUUUGGGUGGUCAGCUAGUGGAGUAUUGGUAGAGUAGGUUUGGGUAGUUGGUUAGCGGAGUAAGUUAGAAGGGUAGGUUUGGGUAGUUGGUUAGUAGUGUAGCUUUGGGUGGUUGUUUAGUGGAGUAGGUUAGUAGAGCAGGUUUGGGUAGUUGAUUAGUAGAAUGGCUUUGGGUGAUUGGUUAGUGGGGCAGGUUAGUAGAGUAGGUUUGGAUAGUAGGUUAGUGGAGUUAGCAGGGCAGGUUUUGGUAGUUGGUUAGUCCAGUAGCUUUGGGUGGUCAGUUAGUGGAGUAGGUUAGUAGGGUAGGUUUGGGUAGUUGGUUAGUACAGAAGCUUUGGGUGGUCAGUUAGUGGAGUAGGUUAGUAGGGUAGGUUAAUAGAGGACGUCAGUGCUGCAGGUCAGUGGAGCAGUCCAUGUGGUUCCAGGCUCAGGAUCAGCUAUUUAGUGAUUCUGUCUGCAUUUAUUAGAAGACCUUCUAUAAGUAAGCACUUUCCCACAUCAACAAUUUGGUGACCUGAUUCUUUGCAUCUAUUAGGUAAAUGAGGUGAGUGUAUUGUAGCAAGUUUUUCUUUUGUCAGUAGGAGUUCACAAAGAUUCAGGGGUGUGUGAAGUCUUUUCCGUUUGUGUGUGGACCCAUUGUUUCCUGGUUGUGUGGUUGCCAGUCAGGAAAAGCUGCUGAGCCCAGUUGAAUCAGACAGCCCAGGGCGAGAGGCAUUUGGACUGAUGUGCAGAACUGAGAACAAAGAGGCCUUGAAUAGUGGAUGGACAGCUGUGGGAUCCCGCGCCCGUCAGACUUCGCCCCGGCCAGUUUAGGCAUUCAUCUAUUGUUAGGGGGAGGCCAAAAUUUCACCAGCCAAGCACGCUUCUCAGGAGUGGCAUCAGCCAAGAGGUUGGUCAGGCACUUUCUCAUGGCCGGCGUUUCCAGACUUCAGAUCAGGGGUGGCCUUGGCACUUUAAGGUCGAUGGCGGUGUCACAUCAGCUGUGCCUUCCCAUCAGUACACGGACCUUAGCCAAGUUAAAAUUGGGGAGUACUGAGCAUGGCAGUGAUCACACUUACCGAGGGGCUGUCGAGAGUGGGCCAGGCAGGGUUUGGGGACGUGGGGCUGGAUGGGGCGAGGCUGGCCUCCACCCCUUCUUUGUCUGGCCCUGUGGGGCUGUGUGACUUUAUGCCCCUGGACCCACUUCUCUGAACCUGUCCAUGUGGCGUGACAUGAAGGAGUGGAAGUGGACGUCCUCUCACGUUUUUCAGCCCCUUGUGUUUGUCCUUGGAGUCAACAGGAGUGUCUCACCAGGGCAUAAGGCCCCAGGCAGGACUGUCCUCCUCGCUGUGGGCCCCACCGUGUGAAUGGAGGUGCCCGUCUCUUUCUCAGGGGCCCCAUGGCAGCCCCUCACCCUAGGUAGAAGGUGUCCCCAUGCCCAGCCUGUCAGCUGCCUUCCACACUGGUCUGUCUUAACCUCCGGCUUCCCACUCUCUGGUCACCUCUUAUUUCAUCCGGUCAUUGCUGCAGUCCUGGGGGGAAGGCUGUGUGGCCGCCCUGUUUUUUCCUUUUCUUGAGAUGGAGUUUUGUUCUGUCGCCUAGGCUGGAGAGCAAUGGCGCUAUC